GAUGAACGCUGGCGGCGUGCCUAAUACAUGCAAGUCGAGCGAACGGACGAGAAGCUUGCUUCUCUGAUGUUAGCGGCGGGCGGGUGAGUAACACGUGGAUAACCUACCUAUAAGACUGGGAUAACUUCGGGAAACCGGAGCUAAUACCGGAUAAUAUUUUGAACCGCAUGGUUCAAAAGUUAAAGACGGUCUUGCUGUCACUUAUAGAUGGAUCCGCGCUGCAUUAGCUAGUUGGUAAGGUAACGGCUUACCAAGGCAACGAUGCAUAGCCGACCUGAGAGGGUGAUCGGCCACACUGGAACUGAGACACGGUACAGACUCCUACGGGAGGCAGCAGUAGGGAAUCUUCCGCAAUGGGCGAAAGCCUGACGGAGCAACGCCGCGUGAGUGAUGAAGGUCUUCGGAUCGUAAAACUCUGUUAUUAGGGAAGAACAUAUGUGUAAGUAACUGUGCACAUCUUGACGGUACCUAAUCAGAAAGCCACGGCUAACUACGUG
rnacentral:rRNA from 1 species